GAAUAAAAUGUACUGCAAAUCGUGCAAUAAAUUAAAAAGUCAACGGAAGCGCACUGGUUCUUGAACCCCACCAACUUCACACUCACCACAUUACAGAAAAGGAGGAAAUUGAGAAAUAAACAUGGCCAACCAAUCAUCCAAGCGCACGCACACAGCCUCCGGGGCUUUGAUCCGAACCAAACAACGACAUGCUGCAAUGGAUGCUGCUCAUCACAGCCUGAAUCUCACUUUAUGCUGCCAACACUACGAUUGAGAGAAACCAAACAACAAUGCACGGCGACGGUCACUCGGCGCGCGCUUAGAAGUCGCUGCUGGCGACGGGGGCGUGGUCGCCGCACAUGUAGAUGUACCGGUAGACGAUGCCGGCGAGGCCUCCGCCGACAAGCGGGCCGACCCAGUAGAUCCAGAUGUUGGUGAAGUCGCCGCUGGCCACGGCGGGGCCGAAGGAGCGGGCCGGGUUCAUGGACCCGCCGGA
rnacentral:lncRNA from 1 species